GAUGAACGCUGGCGGCGUGGAUAAGGCAUGCAAGUCGAACGACCCUUCGGGGGAGUGGCAAACUGGGUAGUAACAGGUAGGAACAUACCCGAAAGUCAGGAAUAACUUGUCGAAAGACAAGCUAAUACUUGAUAGUUCUCUUCGGAGUAAAGAUUUAUCGCUUUCGGAAUGGCCUGCUUCGCAUCAGCUUGUUGGUAGUGUAAUGGACUACCAAGGCUAUGACGCGUAGGGGAGCUGAGAGGCUGACCCCCACCAUUGGCACUGAGACACUGGCCAAACACCUACGGGUGGCUGCAGUCGAGAAUCUUCCGCAAUGCACGAAAGUGUGACGGAGCGACGCCGCGUGAUUGAUGAAGUCCUUCGGGAUGUAAAAAUCUUUUCUCAAGGAGGAAGUUUAUUGACGUUACUUGAGGAAUAAGAGGUUGCUAAACUCG
rnacentral:rRNA from 1 species